GGUUUAGUAUCAUAAUACUCAAUAGCAGGUUUAGUAUCAUAAUACCCGAUACCAGGUUUAGUAUCAUAAUACUCAAUAGCAGGUUUAGUAUCAUAAUACUCAAUAGCAGGUUUAGUAUCAUAAUACUCAAUAGCAGGUUUAGUAUCAUAAUACCCGAUACCAGGUUUAGUAUCAUAAUACUCAAUAGCAGGUUUAGUAUCAUAAUACUCAAUAGCAGGUUUAGUAUCAUAAUACUCAAUAGCAGGUUUAGUAUCAUAAUACCCGAUACCAGGUUUAGUAUCAUAAUACUCAAU